UCUCACACCCUCAUGGCGAUAGUUCUUUGGUUCGCUCUGGCUGUUGCUGUUUCUUCAUCUUCUUCCCCUUUGCCUUGGCGAAGCUCCUCACCUUUAUUUCCUCCAUGCUCGCUGUUGCGAUGCGAUGCUUGCUUUGCUGGUGUUGAUUUAUGAAGAUGUUGAUUCAUCUACUGGUGGCGUAUUCUUUCAUUUUUUGCAUAUAGUCGACACAGAAUCUGGGAGCUUUUGGAAUGAUUUCCGUAAACAACUACUGCUGAAAGCAGGUGAUGAAACCUGUGGAACAGAGCUUCUAACUUAUUAAGAUGUAGAUCAGCAUGAGGGAAUCAUGAUCACGAAUCAGCGACACCAUCAAUAAGAACGAGAAAAUGAAAGAAUGAGUGAAUGAGGGAGAAGAUCAUUUUUCAUUGUAUUGAACUUUUAGAACAACAAUCAAAAACUGAAUUGAAUACAAGGCUCUCUAUUUA